rnacentral:rRNA from 1 species
UGGGGAAUAUUGGACAAUGGGCGCAAGCCUGAUCCAGCAAUGCCGCGUGUGUGAAGAAGGCUCUAGGGUUGUAAAGCACUUUCAGUGGGGAAGAAAUACGAGAGGUUAAUACCCUCUCGGAAUGACGUUACCCACAGAAGAAGCACCGGCUAACUCCGUGCCAGCAGCCGCGGUAUUACGGAGGGUGCGCGCGUUAAUCGGAAUUACUGGGCGUAAAGGGCGCGUAGGCGGUAUGAUUAGUCGGGUGUGAAAGCCCCGAGCUCAACUCGGGAACUGCAUUCGAAACUGUCAGGCUAGAGUGUGGUAGAGGGAAGCGGAAUUCCAUGUGUAGCGGUGAAAUGCGUAGAUAUCUGGAGGAACAUCAGUGGCGAAGGCGGCUUCCUGGACCAACACUGACGCUGAGGCGCGAAAGCGUGGGGAGCAAACAGGAUUAGAUACCCGGGUAGGCC